CUUUCUAUGAAUCUCUUAGGUUGUUGGUUUUAUAAUGUAGGACUGGCCAAAGUCUCAAAAGUUCGAUGUGUUGAUACAUGUCUGCUUUUCACAUGGAGUUUUAGGAUCCCAAUCAACAACGUUUUUAGUGGAAUUCUCAUACAUGGAAGAUUGAUGCACUAUAAGAGGUGUAAGGGUAUAUUUGAGCAUAUACCACUAUUUGGAUUGCUCCCUUGAGAUUUACCUUUGUGCCUAUCAAACUUAAGAUAUCUGGAAGCUAAAGAUGUUCAAGAUAUAUAUUCUCUUACAUUUGAUGAUCAAUAAGAUAUGAAACUACAAUUCUACUAAUAAAUCUUCUGCUCAGCUCAAGUAUGUCAACCUACAGCCAUACAAAAUGUGGUGUAACUAUGAUUGUUGCCACAAGUAUUCCAAUGUGAUCACGCCACAAGGAACUUAGCUCAACAAUGCUUAACGUAGCAAUAUAAGGGCAAACUUUUGGAGUUCAAGAUGGUGGGUGGAUGCCUUGGACACAACUAGCAUCUUGAGUCCCAAAAGGGCAUUUGGUUGCAAGUUUAUAUCAUGGUGGCACCUAGGGAUAUGUUGUGUGACCUGACAGGACCUAACUACUCGUUCAAAUGGAUUUUCUAAGAAUAAAAUGAUUCCCAGUGCCUUUCAAGCCAAGCAACUAAUGGAUCAACUCUAUGAAAACGUAUAUGGAUAAUCUCGAUGAUGUUUUUUUGACAUCACUAGAGUAAUAGGAAGAGUAAGGCUUAGAAUGGGCAUGUUUUUCUACAAUGGAAA
rnacentral:lncRNA from 1 species